rnacentral:rRNA from 1 species
UACGUAGGUGGCAAGCGUUGUCCGGAUUCACUGGGCGUAAAGCGCGCGCAGGCGGUCUUCUACGUCUGGGGUGAAAACCCGGGGCUCAACCCCGGGACUGCCUUGGAUACGGGGAGACUUGAGGAUCGGAGAGGCAAGGGGAAUUCCACGUGUAGCGGUGAAAUGCGUAGAGAUGUGGAGGAACACCUGUGGCGAAGGCGCCUUGCUGGCCGAUUUCUGACGCUGAGGCGCGAAGGCGUGGGGAGCAAGCAGG